UACAGAGGGUGCGAGCGUUAUUCGGAAUUAUUGGGCGUAAAGGGCGCGUAGGCGGCCUGGCAAGUGGAUGGUGAAAUCCCUCGGCUUAACCGAGGAACUGCCAUCCAGACUGCUUGGCUUGAGACCGGGAGAGGUGAGUGGAAUUCCCAGUGUAGCGGUGAAAUGCGUAGAUAUUGGGAGGAACACCAGUGGCGAAGGCGGCUCACUGGACCGGUACUGACGCUGAGGCGCGAAAGCGUGGGGAGCAAACGGGG
rnacentral:rRNA from 1 species